AUUGAACGCUGGCGGCAUGCCUUACACAUGCAAGUCGAACGGCAGCACGGGAGCAAUCCUGGUGGCGAGUGGCGCACGGGUGAGUAAUAUAUCGGAACGUGCCCAGUCGUGGGGGAUAACGCAGCGACACAUGUGCUAAUACCGCAUACGAUCUAAGGAUGAAAGCGGGGGAUCGCAAGACCUCGCGCGAUUGGACCGGCCGAGAUCAUGUAUUAGCUAGUUGGUGGGGUAAAGGCCCGCCAAGGCGACGAUCUGUAGCUGGUCUGAGAGGACGACCAGCGACACUGGAACUGAGACACGGGCCAGAGUCCUACGCGAGGCAGCAGUGGGGAAUUUUGGAGAAUGGGCGCAAGCCUGAUCCAGCAAUGCCGCGUGCAGGAUGAAGGCCUUCGGGUUGUAAACUGCUUUUGUACGGAACGAAACGGCCCUUUCUAAUACAGGGGGCUAAUGACGGUACCGUAAGACUAAGCACCGGCUAACUACGUGCCAGCCGCCGCUGUAA
rnacentral:rRNA from 1 species